rnacentral:rRNA from 1 species
UACAGAGGGGGCAAGCGUUGUUCGGAAUUACUGGGCGUAAAGGGCGCGUAGGCGGCCUGCUAAGUCGAACGUGAAAUCCCCGAGCUCAACUCGGGACUGCGUCCGAUACUGCGGCUUGAAUCCGGGAGAGGAUGCGGAAUUCCAGGUGUAGCGGUGAAAUGACGUAGAUAUCUGGAGGAACACCGGUGGCGAAGGCGGCAUCCUGGACCGGAGAGACGCUGAGGCGCGAAAAGCUAGGGGAGCAAACGGGG